UACGUAGGGACCAAGCGUUGUCCGGAUUUAUUGGGCGUAAAGAGCGUGUAGGCGGCUUUACAGGUCCGUUGUGAAAACUCGAGGCUCAACCUCGAGACGCCGGUGGAAACCGUAAAGCUAGAGUCCGGAAGAGGAGAGUGGAAUUCCUGGUGUAGCGGUGAAAUGCGCAGAUAUCAGGAAGAACACCCGUGGCGAAGGCGGCUCUCUGGGACGGUACUGACGCUGAGACGCGAAAGCGUGGGGAGCAAACAGG
rnacentral:rRNA from 1 species